rnacentral:rRNA from 1 species
UACGGGAGGCAGCAGUGGGGAAUAUUGCACAAUGGGCGCAAGCCUGAUGCAGCCAUGCCGCGUGUAUGAAAAAGGCCUUCGGGUUGUAAAGUACUUUCAGUCGUGAGGAAGGUGUUAAGGUUAAUAACCUUAGCAAUUGACGUUAGCGACAGAAGAAGCACCGGCUAACUCCGUGCCAGCAGCCGCGGUAAUACGGAGGGUGCGAGCGUUAAUCGGAAUUACUGGGCGUAAAGGGCACGCAGGCGGUUAAUUAAGUUGGAUGUGAAAUCCCCGGGCUUAACCUGGGAAUGGCAUUCAAGACUGGUUAGCUAGAGCCUUGUAGAGGGGGUAGAAUUCCAUGUGUAGCGGUGAAAUGCGUAGAGAUGUGGAGGAAUACCGGUGGCGAAGGCGGCCCCUGGACAAAGACUGACGCUCAUGUGCGAAAGCUGGGGAGCAAACAGGGAUUAGAUACC